AUCAAAUAUAUAUUUUUUUAAAUCUUGAUAAGUCAACACUUUGCAUGAAUCUUAAUUAUUAUAUCAUUGCUUAAAAAAAAGAAGAACUUUGAAAAAUUCAGGUGCUUUGAAAAAUCCCCCUUGUGCAGGUGUUUAUGGUUAAUAUCGAGAAAAAGACGAAAAUCAAAAUCUUACAAAUUUGGAGAUUAAUCACGAAUAAAAAUGGAGCAAUAAUGCUACAUUGCAAAGUGGAGGAUCGGCUAUUUACUCAAAAGAAGUACAUACUUCGGCA
rnacentral:lncRNA from 1 species